UACGGGGGGGGCAAGCGUUGUUCGGAAUUACUGGGCGUAAAGGGCUCGUAGGCGGCCAACUAAGUCCGACGUGAAAUCCCCAGGCUUAACCUGGGAACUGCGUCGGAUACUGGAUGGCUUGAAUUCGGGAGAGGGAUGCAGAAUUCCAGGUGUAGCGGUGAAAUGCGUAGAUAUCUGGAGGAAUACCGGUGGCGAAGGCGGGUCUCUGGGCUAACACUGACGCUCAUGCACGAAAGCGUGGGGAGCAAACAGG
rnacentral:rRNA from 1 species